CCCUUAGAUGUUCUGGGCUGCACGCGUGCUACACUGAUUAUUUCAACAAGUGUUUUAACUGGAGAGUUCGCGUAAUCCUGAAAUGUUAUCGUGAUGGGAGUAGAGUAUUGUAUUUGUUAAUCUUUAGCGAGGAAUUCCUAGCAAGUGUAGGUUUAUAAGUUGUUCUGAUUACGUCCCUGCCCUUUGUACACACCGCCCGUCGCUCCUACCGAUUGAUUGAUCCGGUGAAUUACAUAGAAUUUUGCGUUUUACAUGACGGAAGACGAAGUGUUUUAAACCUUAUCAUUUAGAGGAAGGAGAAGUCGUAACA
rnacentral:rRNA from 1 species